rnacentral:rRNA from 1 species
CCUACGGGUGGCAGCAGUGGGGAAUAUUGGGCAAUGGGGGGAACCCUGACCCAGCAACGCCGCGUGAGUGAAGAAGUCUUUCGGUAUGUAAACCUCUAUCAGCAGGGACGAAGGAAAUGACGGUACCUGACUAAGAAGCCACGGCUAACUACGUGCCAGCAGCCGCGGUAAUACGUAGGGGGCAAGCGUUAUCCGGAUUUACUGGGUGUAAAGGGGGCGUAGGCGGUUACGCAAGUCUGGUGUGAAAGGCGGGGGCCCAACCCCCGGACUGCUUUUGAAACUGUAUAACUGGAGUGCAGGAGAGGCAAGUGGAAUUCCUAGUGUAGCGGUGAAAUGCGUAGAUAUUAGGAGGAACACCAGUGGCGAAGGCGGCUUACUGGACUGUAACUGACGUUGAGGCGCGAAAGCGUGGGGAGCAAACAGGAUUAGAUACCCGGGUAGUC